AUUGAACGCUGGCGGCAGGCCUAACACAUGCAAGUCGAGCGGAUGAAGGGAGCUUGCUCCUGGAUUCAGCGGCGGACGGGUGAGUAAUGCCUAGGAAUCUGCCUGGUAGUGGGGGAUAACGUCCGGAAACGGGCGCUAAUACCGCAUACGUCCUGAGGGAGAAAGUGGGGGAUCUUCGGACCUCACGCUAUCAGAUGAGCCUAGGUCGGAUUAGCUAGUUGGUGGGGUAAAGGCCUACCAAGGCGACGAUCCGUAACUGGUCUGAGAGGAUGAUCAGUCACACUGGAACUGAGACACGGUCCAGACUCCUACGGGAGGCAGCAGUGGGGAAUAUUGGACAAUGGGCGAAAGCCUGAUCCAGC
rnacentral:rRNA from 1 species